UUCUUCCAGAGUGUUUUCAAGAAGAUGCUCCAGUCCUGGAUACAUUUUGCUAUCUUUUUCUAGUGUAACCAUUUUCAAUUCAAGGAAUUCUUUGAUCCCCAGACAGAAGUCUAUUUUGUCUGCUCAUUCUGAAAUCUAUGGCAUUACAGCUGCAUGUAGCUCUUUAACUUCCAUAGUUCCCUCUGAAUGUACCACUGAACUUAAAUUUCUCAUUUUUUUCAGGUUGGAAACAGAGAAGAAAAAUAGCAUAAGCCUUAGGUUCGUGGUAAUAGCUGACUGAAUUCAUCAGGGGUCAGAAAAUAAGCAGUACUGGAUCUGACCCUGCUUGCUGGAACAUCUGCUUUAGGAAAAGCCUGUGCGGUGAGAAGUUGCAACGUAGAGCUGAAAGCAUGUGAAUAGAUUCAUGAGGGAAUGUUGUUUGCCUCUUCAAUUGCAUCAUGGCUCCAUCACUGCGGGGAAAUUUGAUUUAUGAAGCUCAGCUACCACGUCUGUUCUGUGCUCCUGUUUUGUUGCUUAUUUUAGAAACACCAGCAUGGGCUCCUGAUUGGCUACUUUCCUCCCCGAGUAACGUGAUGAUUGGUUGCGCACUCACACUUCGUUGUGUGGGUCUCGCGCCUGUUUGAUUGUGUGUGCAGCGUGCUGCAUACCAAUGGGGUAGGAUAAAGCAAGAAGCCUUUGGAAGCAACUGUUGUGAUCUCGAGGAGAUGUCCUUGAUAGAGCUUUUUCAGCUUUUUCAGCUUAUUAAAAAGGCAAACCAUAUGCCUUUAACCACAGCCA